AGAGCUGAAGGCUUUCUGUCAGAGGACGCUGCUGCCCGCUUGCCACAUGAGGGAACUCUUUCCCUGCAAACCAGGGGCAGCCCAGGAGGAGGGUUUCCAGAUGCUCCCUGGUGUCCCCGCCCCCUCCCGGCCAAGGAGUCAGGGCGCAUUCUGUUCACUGCAGACUUGGAAAGGCAGCUGAGCCGCUGGCAGGACGUCUCCAGAGAUUGCAAGAUGCAGACCUGGGAAGCCAGAAACCUUCAGAAAAGGCUCGUCCUUCUGCCCAGGGCCUCUGGUGGAUGAGGAAUGGAGUGCUGGUCAUGUCAAGUACUGUAUUCAUGGGGAAGGGUCUUUGAGGGGAGCUGUUGUGGCAAUUCAGAACAUCCUAUGGCCCCAAAGAAGAGUUUCAAAUGGAAGUCAGGGACUGAACUCCUCUCAGUAACCUGCCCGAAGUGUCCAGUGGGCAGAGGGUGCUCCUUACAGGGCAUCUAACAACCUCACAGCAAAUUCAGUCCAAAUUCUGAAUCUGGCUGUUUGAUACCGGUUGCUUCUCAAACCCAGCACACUCUGGAAUGCAAGAGGACAAGACUGCUCAUCUCUUAGCAUCUUCCCUAUGGCUAUAACCUUGCAGAAUCCGGAACAGGAGACAAGAUUGCUUCGCCAAGCCUGGAGGAAGAUCAAGUGCUCUCUGCACCGGUGUGGGACUUCGCCUGAUUCCGAUACAUCUUUUCAGCCAUAAAAGCACACAAAACAAUGAGAAAAAUAACACUGUG